AGUGAACGCUGGCGGUAGGCCUAACACAUGCAAGUCGAACGGCAGCACAGUAAGAGCUCGCUCUUACGGGUGGCGAGUGGCGGACGGGUGAGGAAUGCAUCGGCAUCUACUUUUUCGGGGGGGACAACGUAGGGAAACUUAUGCUAAUACCGCAUAUGUUGAACGGGAGAAAGCAGGGGAGCUUGGCACUUUUCGCGACACAAUGAGACGCAGUCGGAUUAGCUAGUCGGGAGGGUAAAGGCUCACCAAGGCAACGAUCCGUAGCUGAUCUGAGAGGAUGAUCGGCCACACUGGAACUGAGACACGGUCCAGACUCCUACGGGAGGCAGCAGUGGGGAAUAUUGGGCAAUGGGCGCAAGCCUGAUGCAGCCAUACCGCGUGAGUGAAGAAGGCCUUCGGGUCGUAAAGCCCUUUUGUUGGGAAAGAACAGAAGCAGAUUAAUACACCGCUGUUUUGACGGUACCCAAAGAAUAAGCAACGGCUAACUUCGUG
rnacentral:rRNA from 1 species